CGAGAAAGAGCUUUGGAGUGUACGACGCAACAAUAGAUUUUUACAUUUUUCCUAAUUGUUAUUCAGUCAAAGUAAAGAAAUGUAGUUAUUAUUCUAUAUGAAAAAAACUGAAAGAGUCAGUGUAUUAAAUUGAAGAAAGAUUUUUCCAGACAUAUUGAAAAAGUACUCGAAAAGUGUUAGCAUCGCGUUCUUAAACCGAAUUAUUAGGGCAGUAAAAAGUGUUGUGUUUACAAAAGUCGUAUAAAUAAUCAGUAAUAAAGUCAGUAAAUCAUUAUUUUUCAAGUUAGUAAUCGCGUUCUAAAACCGAAUUAUUAGGUCAGUGAAAAGUGUUAUUGAAAUAAUUUGACGGAUGUAAGUCAAUAAUUCAGAAAAAGGACGAUAAUACUUAAUAUUCUACAAGUAAAAUGAGUAAUUGUGGAAAAAGAUUAUGCGGAACAAACAUUGUUGUCAUUAGGAUAUCAUCAGGGUUUCUACAAGUUAGUCAUGAGGACCAGGAAAUCAUGGAAUUGUCGCAGGGGAUUUUAAUUUGGUUCAUGGAGUAAUGGAAAUAUCAAGGAAAUUCUAAUUAUAGACAUUUUGGAACGCAUAGAAAUUCUAGAAAAAGCAUUA